rnacentral:rRNA from 1 species
CCUACGGGCGGCAGCAGUGAGGAAUAUUGGUCAAUGGGCGAGAGCCUGAACCAGCCAAGUCGCGUGAGGGAAGACGGUCCUAUGGAUUGUAAACCUCUUUUGCCGGGGAGCAAACAGCGGUACGCGUACCGCAUCGAGAGUACCCGGCGAAACAGCAUCGGCUAACUCCGUGCCAGCAGCCGCGGUAAUACGGAGGAUGGGAGCGUUAUCCGGAUUUAUUGGGUUAAAAGGGUGCGCAGGCGGCGAGUUAAGUCAGCGGUAAAAUUUCGGGGCUAAACACGGACAAGCCGUUGAAACUGGGUUGCUAGAGUGUGCGAGAAGUAUGCGGAAUGCGUGGUGUAGCGGUAAAAUGCAUAGAUAUCACGCAGAACUCCGAUUGCGAAGGCAGCAUACCGGCGCCCAACUGACGCUCAGGCACGAAAGCGUGGGUAUCGAACAGGAUUAGAUACCCUUGUAGUC